UCACAAUAAACAUUUGAAUUGGUUUCAACAAUCAUUUCUAUUUGUUGUAGUGGACUGUUUGCUCUGUUGCAAUAGCACGUAUCUUCAGUCCGUUGAUAUUACGCUGGUUGCAUAGGUGCUAUCCUUUAUUGUCAUGGAAUGGAAUACUUCGAAAAUAAAUAAAAGUAGAAAACUGUAAAUGUAAAAAAAAAACAUAGAAAAGGAAAGAAAAUUAACUGGGCCGUCAACAGCCCAGGCACGCAGCUGGGCCUAGCAGCCAGGCAGACCAACGUGGGCUUUUGGCCACCAACCACAUGCUGCACGCACCAGAGAUGGCUAAAUCCACUAAGGCCUUGUUUAGUUGACAUCAAAAACCAAAACUUUUUCAAGAUUUCUCAUCACAUCGAAUCUUGCGUCACAUACAUAGAGCAUUAAAUAUAGACGAAAACAAAAACUAAUUGCACAGUUUAUCUGUAAAUCACGAGAUAAAUCUUAUGAGUCUAUUUAGUUCAUGAUUGAAUAAUAUUGUCAAAUAAAAAUAAAAAUGGUACAAUACCCCGAACCAAAAAAUUUGCGAACUAAACAAGGCCUAAAAAACAGAGAUGGCGAAAGGUACAUAAGCUUGAGGAAGCUUAAUUUAUACCCACCGCUAAAUUGUGAAAAUUUCAGUCUGCCUCAGCCAAUCUAUCCGCCUCCCUCCGCCUCGGUCCGUAAUCUGCCGGUGGCUACCGUGUGGAAGAGAAAAAAAAUAGAAUUUUUUUUAGAGUUCUCAAUGCAAAAUCUUCUAUACGCAUCAUGCUGUUGAGAAUAAAAAAAAUAUAGGGCCUAGGUGCAACCUAUCUGCCUCCCUCCGCCUCAGUCUGGAAUCUUACCAGUGGCUACCGUGUGGAAGAGAAAAAAAAUAGAAGUUCUUUAGGGUUUCCAAUAUAAAAUCUUCUAUAUACAUCACAAUAUAUUGAGAAUAAGGAAAAUACAGGGGUCUAGGUGCAAAGU
rnacentral:lncRNA from 1 species